rfam:Setaria italica strain Yugu1 chromosome VI, whole genome shotgun sequence.
CCGCUAGAUGAUGAAGAACUUGUCGCGUACAUCGUCAACGGAUUGGAUUCUGAAUUCAAUCCCGUGGUGUCGGCGCUCGUCACGAGGGUCAAACCGAUCUUGGUUACUGAGCUCUACUCCCAGCUGCUCAGCUUCAAGA